CUUUGGGAUGCCAGUAGAUGGCCCACCAUAGCUCAAAAAUGAAAUGGAUGCCAAGAUGGCUGACACAGAGACUGGGGUCCAAUCAUGCCCUCUGAGAUUCCAGUAGACAGGACCAUGAAACUCCUCCUCAGCAUCCCAUAUGAGGCAAACCAGUGUCUAACAACACAGCAGCUGAUCUAACGACCAAGGAUCCCUCAUGAAAACUACAAAUGUGCAUAAUUAACCAAACAGACUAAUACUUACAGAACAUUUUUAAAGAUGGAAGAUCAGAGCACUCUUGAACUAGGCAAAUAAACUAUGUGGGUAGCUUC